rnacentral:lncRNA from 1 species
GGGGCUGGCAAAUGUCCAGCGCUUCACAACCAGCUGGACGCAGGCUUGGGGCUGUGCUACUCUGAAAGAAAUGCUAGGCAAAAGCUGUAGCCCCAGCAGGGAGCAUCUUCUCCAGCUCACCUGGCUCUGAAGUGCUGGCCCAGCUUGCUGUCAGAUGAAAAUGUGUUUAGGAACAAAUGGGGUUAGAUGAGAAGCGUGAAAAUCUACCAGAUUGAAAGACAGACAAGAAAUCUCGGCGCAGACUGCACGCACCUUCACGUUGCAUUAUUUUUGCUCAUGAUUUAACUUCAAAGUCUGACAAACACUCUGGCAGGAGGAGCCCUCUCUUAAGAGUCAACGCUGUCACUCUCUCUGGAUGGUGCAAAGCUCUCCCACCGCUACGAACUCGGGCAGCCAAACCAUAGUGAAACCCACCUUCAAAUUCUGCUCCUUCCAAGCCUGAAAAGCAAGCCGGAAAAUUGACUGGUGCUGCAGCGAGAGCAGUGCCAAUCCACAUGGCGUACGGCAGCGAGGCAGCGUAGGCGAGCAUCCGGUGGCUGCUCUGCCACCCACGGGGCCUUCGCCUGCCAGAGGGGAGACGGUGCCACCGAGGGACACAGACGUGUUCACUGGCUCGAGGGAAGGUGCAAGGCAGGGCCUCAGCGAGCCAGCAGCAGGAAAAUACAUGCAGUGCCUGCAUUCUCAAUAUACCAUGUUUGCAGCACUUCUUUCCAGUGGACGCAGAAGAUGUGCAGAAGCGAUGCUUGAACAGUGGCUCUGUGGAGCUGAUGAGAGCUGGUUUCCAGCCCACACCCCGCAUGAGCAGCUUGAACAGCACAGUCUCUUCGGCCUGGCCUAGAAGAUCAAACUGCUGAGCCUGAGACUCUGGGCAGUGGAGUCCUGCUAAGUGAAAGCACUUUUUAAUGGGAAGCGAAUGGAACUCGUUAGCGUCUGCCAUUUUAUUAUGUAGGUUGAAAAUUACUUAUUAGCAUGGAUGCAUUCACUCUUCAUGCUGAUCAUUCAUAUGUUUUGCUAGAAGAGUACAAGUACAUUUAUCUCCAAGCCAAGGAGUAUCUUGUAUCUCUCUAAAUCAGUGAGCUGAAGACAAAAAAAAAAAAAAAAAAAGAAAAGAAAAGAUGUGGGUACUCAGUAUGUUCCGAUUCCCUUGCCUUGGCAGUAGAAGUCGAGAGUUUGCUGCUCUGUGCUCUUUUGUGCUUUUGUGUCUGCAUGAGAGAACUGAACUGCUGGUAAACUGCCCGGUGGGACUGUGCAAGCAGAGCAGGACGCUGCAGUCCAUCCCCCUUUGCCUCGCAYGGUCUCGUGCCC